rnacentral:rRNA from 1 species
UACGGGGGGGGCAAGCGUUGUUUGGAAUUACUGGGCGUAAAGGGCUCGUAGGCGGCCAUCUAAGUCAGACGUGAAAUCCCUCGGCUUAACCGGGGAACUGCGUCUGAUACUGGACGGCUUGAAUCCGGGAGAGGGAUGCGGAAUUCCAGGUGUAGCGGUGAAAUGCGUAGAUAUCUGGAGGAACACCGGUGGCGAAGGCGGCAUCCUGGACCGGCAUUGACGCUGAUGAGCGAAAGCCAGGGGAGCAAACGGG